CCUACGGGAGGCAGCAGUGGGGAAUAUUGCACAAUGGGGGAAACCCUGAUGCAGCCAUGCCGCGUGUAUGAAGAAGGCCUUCGGGUUGUAAAGUACUUUCAGUAGGGAGGAAGGCAAUGUCGUUAAUAGCGGCAUUGUUUGACGUUACCUACAGAAGAAGCACCGGCUAACUCCGUGCCAGCAGCCGCGGUAAUACGGAGGGUGCGAGCGUUAAUCGGAAUUACUGGGCGUAAAGCGCAUGCAGGCGGUCUGUUAAGCAAGAUGUGAAAGCCCGGGGCUCAACCUCGGAACAGCAUUUUGAACUGGCAGACUAGAGUCUUGUAGAGGGGGGUAGAAUUUCAGGUGUAGCGGUGAAAUGCGUAGAGAUCUGAAGGAAUACCGGUGGCGAAGGCGGCCCCCUGGACAAAGACUGACGCUCAGAUGCGAAAGCGUGGGGAGCAAACAGGAUUAGAUACCCUGGUAGUCCACGCCGUAAACGAUGUCUACUUGGAGGUUGUGGCCUUGAGCCGUGGCUUUCGGAGCUAACGCGUUAAGUAGACCGCCUGGGGAGUACGGUCGCAAGAUUAAAACUCAAAGGAAUUGACGG
rnacentral:rRNA from 1 species